rnacentral:rRNA from 1 species
GACGAACGCUGGCGGCGUGCUUAACACAUGCAAGUCGAACGGAAAGGCCCUGCUUUUGUGGGGUGCUCGAGUGGCGAACGGGUGAGUAACACGUGAGUAACCUGCCCUUGACUUUGGGAUAACUUCAGGAAACUGGGGCUAAUACCGGAUAGGAGCUCCUGCUGCAUGGUGGGGGUUGGAAAGUUUCGGCGGUUGGGGAUGGACUCGCGGCUUAUCAGCUUGUUGGUGGGGUAGUGGCUUACCAAGGCUUUGUCGGGUAGCCGGCCUGAGAGGGUGACCGGCCACAUUGGGACUGAGAUACGGCCCAGACUCCUACGGGAGGCAGCAGUGGGGAAUAUUGCACAAUGGGCGGAAGCCUGAUGCAGCAACGCCGCGUGCGGGAUGACGGCCUUCGGGCUGUAAACCGCUUUCGCCUGUGACGAAGCGUGAGUGACGGUAAUGGGUAAAGAAGCACCGGCUAACUACGUG